rnacentral:rRNA from 1 species
AUUGAACGCUGGCGGAAUGCUUUACACAUGCAAGUCGAACGGCAGCACGGGGGCAACCCUGGUGGCGAGUGGCGAACGGGUGAGUAAUACAUCGGAACGUGCCCGGUCGUGGGGGAUAACGUAGCGAAAGUUACGCUAAUACCGCAUACGAUCUGAGGAUGAAAGCGGGGGACCUUCGGGCCUCGCGCGAUCGGAGCGGCCGAUGUCAAAUUAGGUAGUUGGUGGGGUAAAGGCCUACCAAGCCGACGAUCUGUAGCUGGUCUGAGAGGACGACCAGCCACACUGGGACGGAGACACGGCCCAGACUCCUACGGGAGGCAGCAGUGGGGAAUUUUGGACAAUGGGCGCAAGCCUGAUCCAGCCAUUCCGCGUGCAGGACGAAGGCCUUCGGGUUGUAAACUGCUUUUGUAUGGAACGAAAAGGCUCUGGCUAAUACCUGGGGCUCAUGACGGUACCGUAAGAAUAAGCACCGGCUAACUACGUG